GACGAACGCUGGCGGCGUGCUUAACGCAUGCAAGUCGAACGGAAAGGCCCCUUCGGGGGUACUCGAGUGGCGAACAGGUGAGUAACACGUGAGUAACCUGCCCUUGACUUCGGGAUAACUUCAGGAAACUGGGGCUAAUACCGGAUAGGAAUCCUUGCUGCAUGGUGGGGGUUGGAAAGCUUCGGCGGUUUUGGAUGGACUCGCGGCUUAUCAGCUUGUUGGUGGGGUAGUGGCUUACCAAGGCUUUGACGGGUAGCCGGCCUGAGAGGGCGACCGGCCACAUUGGGACUGAGAUACGGCCCAGACUCCUACGGGAGGCAGCAGUGGGGAAUAUUGCACAAUGGGCGGAAGCCUGAUGCAGCAACGCCGCGUGCGGGAUGACGGCCUUCGGGUUGUAAACCGCUUUCAGCAGGGGCGAAGCUUGUGGUGACGGUACCUGCAGAAGAAGCACCGGCUAACUACGUG
rnacentral:rRNA from 1 species